GCGAGUGUGGUUCAAUGGUAGAACAUAACCUUCCCAAGGUUAAAGCGGGGGUUCGAUUCCCCUCACUCGCU
rfam:Bacterium CG2_30_37_16 isolate CG2_30_37_16 cg2_3.0_scaffold_5110_c, whole genome shotgun sequence.